rnacentral:rRNA from 1 species
AGAACGAACGCUGGCGGCAGGCUUAACACAUGCAAGUCGAACGGGCGUAGCAAUACGUCAGUGGCAGACGGGUGAGUAACACGUGGGAACCUUCCUAGGGGUACGGAACAACUCAGGGAAACUUGAGCUAAUACCGUAUACGUCCGUGAGGAGAAAGAUUCAUCGCCCCUAGACGGGCCCGCGUCGGAUUAGGUAGUUGGUGGGGUAACGGCCUACCAAGCCUACGAUCCGUAGCUGAUCUGAGAGGAUGAUCAGCCACACUGGGACUGAGACACGGCCCAGACUCCUACGGGAGGCAGCAGUGGGGAAUCUUGGACAAUGGGCGCAAGCCUGAUCCAGCCAUGCCGCGUGAGUGAAGAAGGCCUUAGGGUUGUAAAAGCUCUUUUACCAGGGACGAUAAAUGACGGUACCUGGAGAAUAAGCCCCGGCAAACUUCGUAGCCAGCAGCCGC